rnacentral:rRNA from 1 species
UCUGGCCAACCUGCGCGUACUAGGGGAUGGGACCUCCUCUAACCGCAUAAUAGCCCGAGGGUAAUCUGUCAUUAUGCCGACUAUAAUNUACGGAAACUGAGGUUAAUNCUACAUAAAUAUANGAUGCUGCACUGCAUNUAGAUUGAAANCUCCGGCACCUAAAGAUGAGUCCUGCGGACUAUUAUUUUGUAGUCAGGGUAAAGACCUGACUAGCCUACGACGGAUACGGGUUGUGAGAGCAAUAACCCGGAGACGAUAUCUGAGACACGAUAUCGGGCCCUACGGGGCGCAGCAGGCGCGAAAACUUCACACUGUGCGAAAGCGCGAUGAGGGAAUCCCAAGUGUUUGCUCGUAAGAGUAAACUGUUUCUUUGUUUAAAACGCAGAGAGAGUAAGGGCUGGGUAAGACGGGUGCCAGCCCGCCGCGGUAAUACCUGCAGCUCAAGUGGUGAUCAUUAUUAUUGGCCUGAAACGUCCGUACCGGUUUAGUAAUGCCUGGGUAAAUCGUGUAGCUUAACUAUACACUUNCGGGUAGACUGCUAACUUGAAACCCGGAGAGCUAGAGGUAU